ensembl:lncRNA
GGAAAACUUGUUAUGGCUUGCGUUUAGAUGUUCCCCCAAAGCUUCAUGCUUUCUCAGAGGUAGCUGGAUCUAGAGUGUCUGAUGCUGGAAUUGAUUCAUGAUGCAAUGCUAGACUCAAGGGCACUAGGAUUAAGGCUGUGAGUGCUACCCACUCUAAGUAGCCUACAUAAAGAAUAAAAGGGGCAGAAAGAAGCUGUUAAGUUUCCCUUGUUGCUGUUGGUGUCUUCUGCUGCCAUGAACUAUUGCUCCUCUGCCAUGCCACUCUGCCUUGGAGCCAGCUGAUUAUGGACUGAAACCUCUACAAACUCUGAGCAGAGAGCGGUCUGCAGGAAGGAAGCCAUUACCCUCUGGACAGAGCCUUGCAGCAAAGCUCAAGACAAAGGCCCAGGCCAAGUUUAGAGGCAGAUCUAAGAAAACAGGCCCACACUCACUGGAUGGCCCGAACUAUAAACUGCCUCAGUGGUCUUGGAAGCCAUCUAGUAAAAUUAACAGGAGCUAUAAGACUGGCCAUACCCAUUGACUCAGGGCCUUCACCUUUGGGACAUUUCUGCCAGGAAAAAAAGACAACAGAGAAGACCAUCAAACGUCUUUUGCUGCCAGGCAUGGUGGCACAGACCUGUAAUCUCAGCACUCAGGAGGCUGAAGCAGGAGGAUUGCUGGGAAUUCAAGGCUAGCCUAGUCUAUAUAGUGAGUUCAAGGCCACCCUGAACUACAUAGGAAGAAUUUGCCUCAAAAAUAAAUAAAUCAAUAAAUAAAGUCCUUUGCAAGGCCUUGUGUAUCAUAUGUAAAAAGUUUAAAACAAUUUUAAGAUAUAGCACUGCUCCGAGUGCAGAGGAGGUGAGCCACGUGGUUGCCAGCAGCAUCUUCUCCCCAGCCCCAUAAAAAUGAGAAGACACAUAAACAAGGCUCAAAAACAGACUUUCAGAUCGCCUGAAGCAACCCCAAAGGGAAAUGAGAUGGAACGCUCUGAUACUCAACCACCUGGACUCCAUGAACUGACAACAAAAGAGGAUCUGGAAAAAAUGAAAUCAGAAAUAAUUUCUCAGAUAACAGCAGAGAUUGUGCCCAUAGUGCAAGAUAUGAUUAAUAAAUCUAGAGAGGACGCAGAUUAAAAAAAAUAGAGGAGCUGAGGAACAGGAUGGAAUCCCAACAUAGGAAACAAAUGGAAUCCAUAAAACAGAUAUGAACAGAUUUCCAGGAGAUUAAAAACUCCAUUGAAAGUUUACGCAGCAGAAUGAGCCAAUGUGAGGACAGAAUUUCAGAUACAGAAGAUAAGACUGCAAUUGGUGACAAGGCAAAGAAAAAUUUCUUUAAAAUUGUAAAGAACCAUGUGAAAUCAAUCCAGCAGCUGCUAGACGAUGCAAAGAAGAAUAACAUAAGACUGAUUGGAGUCAAUGAAGAAACAGGAGAGUGUCCAGAUGACAUAAAAAAACUUUUCACAGAAGUGAUGGCAGAAAACAUCCCAAGGAGGGGAAAAGAACUUGACAUACAGAUAAGUGAGGCAUAUAGGAUUCCAACUAGCCUUGAUCAAAAAAAUCUACACAUAGGCAUAUAAUAGUUAGGAUUCCAGAAAUCCAACAGAAGAACAAAAUUCUACAAGCAGGAGAGAAAAGAAACAAAUCACAUACAAAGGGAAGGAAAGCCCAUCAGAAUCACAGCAAACUUCUCAGUGCAAACCCUCAAGGCAAGAAGAGCUUGGAGUGAUGUAUUUCAAGGUCUAAAGGAAAACAGCCUCCAACCCAGACUGAUGUACCCUGCAAAACUAUCUUUCAAAAUUGAUGGAGAAAUAAGAUACUUUCAUGAAAAAGAGCACCUUAGGAACUUCAUGAAUACGAAACCAGCACUCCAAAAAAUUUUAGACAAUAUCCUAGGAAAAGACAAUGAGGAUCACAACCCCAGGAAACCCAGCAGAAUGAAUCCAUUGGGGGCACAAGAAAUUAAAUGGAAAGGGGGAGAAUCCAACAAACAGAAAAAGUCAUGACAAUGAUAAGUCAGUAUGCACCCAUUAUAACCAUCAAUGUUAAUGGUCUCAAUUCAACAUUCAAAAGAAAUAGACUGGCAGAAUGGGUCAAGAAGCAAGAUCCAACAAUACGCUGCAUACAAGAAACACACUUAAUUCAAAAAGAAACUUAUAGACUGAAAGUUAAAGGGUAGAAAACAAUACUCCAUGUGACAGGAACCCGAAAAAAAGCAGGAGUAGCUAUUCUCCUUGCAGAGCAAGUGGAUUUCAAACUAAAACCUGAAACACUUCUGGUCCCAAGAAUUUCAGAUAAGGGAUAGUUAACUCAUAUGUACAAAUCUAUUGUGAACAUGUGUUUUCAUUCCUCUUAAGUAAAAUCUUAAGAACAGAAAUGUUGGUUCUUAACAGUAAUACAAGUAAUUUCUGUAUUGUUUUCCAAAAUAGUUUUAUCAUCUUAACAUUCACAUUAGCAGUAUUCAAAAGUUCUAACUGGUUCACACCUAAACUGACAUCUGUUCUUUUAAAACUUUUAACUUCAUCUCCCUAAUGAGUGUAUAAUAUGACCUUGUUAUUGUACUGAUUAGUAUUUUUCUGAUUCUAGUGUUGCACACCUUUCCUUGUGCUGUACUAGCUAUUUAUCAUCUUCUUGUGUUUACUUUUUGAUUAGGUUGUCUAUUAAUGAGCUGUAAGAGUUCUCUUUACAUAUU